rnacentral:rRNA from 1 species
GGCUUAACACAUGCAAGUCGAGGGGCAGCAUGGUCUUAGCUUGCUAAGGCCGAUGGCGACCGGCGCACGGGUGAGUAACACGUAUCCAACCUGCCGUCUACUCUUGGACAGCCUUCUGAAAGGAAGAUUAAUACAAGAUGGCAUCAUGAGUCCGCAUGUUCACAUGAUUAAAGGUAUUCCGGUAGACGAUGGGGAUGCGUUCCAUUAGAUAGUAGGCGGGGUAACGGCCCACCUAGUCUUCGAUGGAUAGGGGUUCUGAGAGGAAGGUCCCCCACAUUGGAACUGAGACACGGUCCAAACUCCUACGGGAGGCAGCAGUGAGGAAUAUUGGUCAAUGGGCGAGAGCCUGAACCAGCCAAGUAGCGUGAAGGAUGACUGCCCUAUGGGCUGUAAACUUCUUUUAUAAAGGAAUAAAGUCGGGUAUGGAUACCCGUUUGCAUGUACUUUAUGAAUAAGGAUCGGCUAACUCCGUGCCAGCAGCCGCGGUAAUACGGAGGAUCCGAGCGUUAUCCGGAUUUAUUGGGUUUAAAGGGAGCGUAGAUGGAUGUUUAAGUCAGUUGUGAAAGUUUGCGGCUCAACCGUAAAAUUGCAGUUGAUACUGGAUAUCUUGAGUGCAGUUGAGGCAGGCGGAAUUCGUGGUGUAGCGGUGAAAUGCUUAGAUAUCACGAAGAACUCCGAUUGCGAAGGCAGCCUGCUAAGCUGCAACUGACAUUGAGGCUCGAAAGUGUGGGUAUCAAACAGGAUUAGAUACCCUGGUAGUCCACACGGUAAACGAUGAGUACUCGCUGUUUGCGAUAUACAGCAAGCGGCCAAGCGAAAGCGUUAAGUAUUCCACCUGGGGAGUACGCCGGCAACGGUGAAACUCAAAGGAAUUGACGGGGGCCCGCACAAGCGGAGGAACAUGUGGUUUAAUUCGAUGAUACGCGAGGAACCUUACCCGGGCUUAAAUUGCAGAUGAAUUACGGUGAAAGCCGUAAGCCGCAAGGCAUCUGUGAAGGUGCUGCAUGGUUGUCGUCAGCUCGUGCCGUGAGGUGUCGGCUUAAGUGCCAUAACGAGCGCAACCCUUGUUGUCAGUUACUAACAGGUUCCGCUGAGGACUCUGACAAGACUGCCAUCGUAAGAUGUGAGGAAGGUGGGGAUGACGUCAAAUCAGCACGGCCCUUACGUCCGGGGCUACACACGUGUUACAAUGGGGGGUACAGAGGGCCGCUACCACGCGAGUGGAUGCCAAUCCCAAAAACCUCUCUCAGUUCGGACUGGAGUCUGCAACCCGACUCCACGAAGCUGGAUUCGCUAGUAAUCGCGCAUCAGCCACGGCGCGGUGAAUACGUUCCCGGGCCUUGUACACACCGCCCGUCAAGCCAUGGGAGCCGGGGGUACCUGAAGUGCGUAACCGCGAGGAGCGCCCUAGGGUAAAACUGGUGACUGGGGCUAAGUAA